rnacentral:rRNA from 1 species
AACGAACGCUGGCGGCGUGCCUAAGACAUGCAAGUCGUACGAGAACGCCACCUUCGGGUGGUUAUUAGAGUGGCAAACGGGUGAGUAACGCGUGGGUAACCUGCCUCGAGGUCUGGGAUAACUCCGGGAAACUGGGGCUAAUACCGGAUAAGCCCACGAGCUCUUCGGAGCAUGUGGGAAAAGGUGGCCUCUUCUUGAAAGCUACCGCCAUGAGAUGAGCCCGCGUCCCAUUAGCUUGUUGGUGAGGUAACGGCUCACCAAGGCUCCGAUGGGUAGCUGGUCUGAGAGGACGAUCAGCCACACUGGAACUGAGACACGGUCCAGACUCCUACGGGAGGCAGCAGUCGGGAAUUUUGGGCAAUGGGCGCAAGCCUGACCCAGCGACGCCGCGUGAGCGAUGAAGGCCCUCGGGUCGUAAAGCUCUGUCGGAAGGGAAGAGGGGAGCGAAGGCAAAUAGCCUAGCUCUUGACGG